rnacentral:rRNA from 1 species
CGCGCCGCGUUAUCGGGGGAUGCAAGCGUUAUCCGGAAUCAUUGGGCGUAAAGCGCCUGUAGGUUGUUUAAUAAGUCUGUUGUUAAAGACUAGGGCUUAACCCUAGAAAAGCAAUGGAAACUACUAGACUAGAGUAUGGCAGGGGUAGAGGGAAUUUCUAGUGUAGCGGUGAAAUGCGUAGAUAUUAGAAAGAACACCGGUGGCGAAAGCGCUCUACUGGACCAUUACUGACACUCAGAGGCGAAAGCUAGGGUAGCAAAAGGGAUUAGAUACCCCUGUAGUCCUAGCCGUAAACGAUGGAUACUACAUGUUGUGCAUUAUGUACAGUAUGGUAGCCAACGCGUUAAGUAUCCCGCCUGGGGAGUACGCUCGCAAGGGUGAAACUCAAAGGAAUUGACGGGGGCCCGCACAAGCGGUGGAGCAUGUGGUUUAAUUCGAUGCAACGCGAAGAACCUUACCAGGACUUGACAUACUACAAGUUCUUUUGAGAAAAAGAAGUGCCUUCGGGAAUGUAGAUACAGGUGGUGCAUGGCUGUCGUCAGCUCGUGUCGUGAGAUGUUGGGUUAAGUCCCGCAACGAGCGCAACCCUUAUUUUUAGUUACCAAUUCGUUGGGUUCUCUAGAAAGACUGCCGGUGACAAACCGGAGGAAGGUGAGGAUGACGUCAAGUCAGCAUGCCCCUUAUGUCCUGGGCUACACACGUGCUACAAUGGUUAAGACAAAGAGUCGCGAGCUCGUGAGAGUCAGCUAAUCUCAUAAACUAGCCCAAGUUCAGAUUAG